GCCUCGGUAGUUAAGUGGCUAUAACACGGCCCUGUCGCGGCCGAAUCCCGGGUUCGAUUCCCGGUCGGGGCG
rnacentral:tRNA from 1 species